ACUCCUACGGGAGGCAGCAGUGGGGAAUUUUGGACAAUGGGCGCAAGCCUGAUCCAGCAAUGCCGCGUGCAGGAAGAAGGCCUCGGGUUGUAAACUGCUUUUGUCAGGGAAGAAAUCCUCUGGGUUAAUACCUCGGGGGGAGUGACGGUACCUGAAGAAUAAGCACCGGCUAACUACGUGCCAGCAGCCGCGGUAAUACGUAGGGUGCGAGCGUUAAUCGGAAUUACUGGGCGUAAAGCGUGCGCAGGCGGUUGUGCAAGACAGGUGUGAAAUCCCCCGGGCUUAACCUGGGAACUGCACUUGUGACUGCACGGCUAGAGUACGGUAGAGGGGAUGGAAUUCCGCGUGUAGCAGUGAAAUGCGUAGAUAUGCGGAGGAACACCGAUGGCGAAGGCAAUCCCCUGGACCUGUACUGACGCUCAUGCACGAAAGCGUGGGAGCAAACAGGAUUAGAUACCCCGUGUAGGAUAGCG
rnacentral:rRNA from 1 species